rnacentral:rRNA from 1 species
UCCUGAAUUCGAAAGGGUGAUGGAUUCAACCGUAUUCCGGACAGUCCGGGGCACCUCCUGCCAGAUGGCUCCGGUCGCCCGCGGCGAUUCAUUUCGCUCGCGGUGUCGUUCCCGGUGGUCACUCGGCGGUUGGGGUGUAGCACGCGGAGGCCGGAGCGGCGAUAUUCCUCCCUAGUAGAAACGUCGCGACCCGUUGGGUGCCGGCCAAAGGCCCGGGCAGGCAGCCCGUGCGUCCCUCGGCUUCGGUCGAGGUCGCGCGGACGUCCGGUGACCCGGCCGGCCGCCCGACGGUAGGACCAGAGGAGUCGAUCCGCUAAAUGAGAAGCACUUGGGUGGUGUGCAGCGUCCGGCCCGGCGACCGUCGUGGGCGGGGAAUCCGGCUUCGGUCGGUCUGGGGUUCCGUGCGGAGUCACGGCCCCGGCUCCGUUUCGCGUCUGGUGCGUCGGUGUCCUCGGACUCGGAUCAGCGCUCMCGUCCGCGGCGCCAAUAUCGGAUGGUCUCCCG